CUAGUUGAAGACCCUACAACUGUUCCUUCCUCUGAACCUGUUUAUGUUGUGAAGUUCUGGUUAAGAGAUGAAACUUAUUCAAGUGAUUUAUCAAACUCAAACAGUUUGAGGUACAAAAGUUUGGCACAAGAUCUUAUUGAAUGGUGCCAGCAAAUCAACAGAAGGAAGUAUAUGGGACAAUUUGACCGAUGCACCAUCAGAGGAUUCCGACGCUUUACUCUUAAAUCGCAAUCCAAUAUGGUUGAAGCGGAAUUUGGAGUUCAUUUCAGAACAAACACGACAGAUUUUCCUCAGAAUGGCAUGGUCGAGCGCAAUUUUUGGAACAACUCUCAGAUUUCAGACAUUCCUGUAAUUGCCAGCUCAUUCACUGUGAUAGAAAGUCCAGUUAUGGAUCGAACAACAGCACAAGCAGUCCCAAAAUUGACUCUGCCUCACCCUUCAGCGAAUGCGACCCCAGCCAACAAAAACAGCACUAUUGUUUCGAAUGGUGUUCGGCACAAGCUCAGCCUUGUGACAGCCUUGUGCCUGGUGACACUAUCGUCCCUACUGUCCGGACUCUAAGAACAGAGGAUCGUCGCUUGUGCGUGAACAAGACUGCCAACACAGCAUUAUUUAAUCAGACUGCAAAUAUGUUCGCUACAAAGCAAUGGAGACAAGUGUGUCUUCAAAAGUAUUGAGAAUAUUUAUUUAUUUUUUGAAUUUAAAUGUGCAAACCAUACUGUGAUUAGUUCAAUGUAAUUAU